AGCUUUGCACAGUGGCAGUAUCGUAGCCAAUGAGGUUUAUCCGAGGAGCGAUUAUUGCUAAUUGAAAAAAACUCAAAGCUCUCCCACAGACAAUGGACAAGACAGAGAAAAGACAAUCUAGUCUCUUGGUCCAUUAUCUGACAAAAGAGAAUUU
rnacentral:snRNA from 1 species